rnacentral:rRNA from 1 species
GCACAAGCGGAGGAACAUGUGGUUUAAUUCGAUGAUACGCGAGGAACCUCACCCGGGCUUAAAUUGCAGAUGAAUUACGGUGAAAGCCGUAAGCCGCAAGGCAUCUGUGAAGGUGCUGCAUGGUUGUCGUCAGCUCGUGCCGUGAGGUGUCGGCUUAAGUGCCAUAACGAGCGCAACCCUUGUUGUCAGUUACUAACAGGUUCCGCUGAGGACUCUGACAAGACUGCCAUCGUAAGAUGUGAGGAAGGUGGGGAUGACGUCAAAUCAGCACGGCCCUUACGUCCGGGGCUACACACGUGUUACAAUGGGGGGUACAGAGGGCCGCUACCACGCGAGUGGAUGCCAAUCCCCAAAACCUCUCUCAGUUCGGACUGGAGUCUGCAACCCGACUCCACGAAGCUGGAUUCGCUAGUAAUCGCGCAUCAGCCACGGCGCGGUGAAUACGUUCCCGGGCCUUGUACACACCGCCCGUCAAGCCAUGGGAGCCGGGGGUACCUGAAGUGCGUAACCGCGAGGAGCGCCCUAGGGUAAAACUGGUGACUGGGGCUAAGUCGUAACAAGGUAGCCGUACCGGAAGGUGCGGCUGGAUCACCUC